GGGGAUUUAGCUCAGUGGUAGAGCGCUUGCCUAGCAAACGCAAGGCCCUGGGUUCGAUCCCCAGCUCG
rnacentral:tRNA from 1 species